rnacentral:lncRNA from 1 species
UUGUUUUGAUUUUAUACUAACCUUUGCAUCUGUGCCGAUGAUAUAGUGUGAUAUCCUUACUGGGCUAGUAUAGCUCAUCCUUUAUUUAACCAUUUCAGAUCAAGAGGACCGAGUUCAAAGCUUGAUCUGCAAGAAGAUUGGGAGUAGAUGUUAGAUACUUUCUAUUUUCCAUUACUUUUCUUAUUUCUCGUGUUUCUUUCAGAGUAUUCAUUUCGUAAUGUUGUUUAGUACUUUUAACUU